AUGAACGCUGGUGGCGUGCCUAAUACAUGCAAGUCGAGCGAACGGACGAGAAGCUUGCUUUUCUGAUGUUAGCGGCGGACGGGUGAGUAACACGUGGAUAACCUACCUAUAAGACUGGGAUAACUUCGGGAAACCGGAGCUAAUACCGGAUAAUAUUUUGAACCGCAUGGUUCAAAAGUGAAAGACGGUCUUGCUGUCACUUAUAGAUGGAUCCGCGCUGCAUUAGCUAGUUGGUAAGGUAACGGCUUACCAAGGCAACGAUGCAUAGCCGACCUGAGAGGGUGAUCGGCCACACUGGAACUGAGACACGGUCCAGACUCCUACGGGAGGCAGCAGUAGGGAAUCUUCCGCAAUGGGCGAAAGCCUGACGGAGCAACGCCGCGUGAGUGAUGAAGGUCUUCGGAUCGUAAAACUCUGUUAUUAGGGAAGAACAUAUGUGUAAGUAACUGUGCACAUCUUGACGGUACCUAAUCAGAAAGCCACGGCUAACUACGUG
rnacentral:rRNA from 1 species